GCCCUAGUAGCUCAACGUCAGAGCGUCGGCCUUGUAAGCCGAAUGUCGGAGGUUAAAAUCCCCCCUAGUGCU
rnacentral:tRNA from 1 species